rnacentral:tRNA from 1 species
UCCCCAGCAGUCCAGUGGUUAGGAUACCGUGCUCUCACUGCCGAGGGCCUGGGUUCAACUCCAGGUUGGGGAA